ensembl:lncRNA
AGUUGUCUUCCUCAGCCUUGUUUACUUCCUUGUUCUCCGCAGCUUCUGCAGCUAGGGGUAGAGUUGGGGAGAUGUCAGCUGCUGAAAAGCCCAUAGUUGUGACUGACUGGGUGAUACUGGGGCAAAACUAAUGUCUGAGGUUGACUACACUUCCACUAGCAUCUUCUGAGAUGGCCCCUCUGGAGCUCUUGGGGAUGAGUCUCCUGGUACAGAGAGAUCUGCUGAUGACAGCCUCAUGUAUACAGAUGACAGAAUCAGGGCCAACAAAGACACUUUCUCCAGAAGUGAUGGAGGAGAGCUAAAAUGAAAUGCUGGAAUGUGGUCAUCUACAGGCAUGACAUUGGGUUGAGCAGAAAGAACAAAAAUUGAAGACAGAAAGAAAGCAGAAGUGUUGUAUUUAAAGGUUCUCAUAUCAACUGGAGCAUGAUAUCAUGGUGGAACUGAAUAACAAUGGUGCUGCUGGAAAUCUUUAAGGCUAUAAGUCACCACAUGAAAGUACCGAUCCAUAGUUAAUUUUACAGCAAAAUAGGUAGGGUCAGUGCUAUCAUAUGUGUACAUCUUCUAUUUAAAUACUUUACAACAUACAUGUAAGUUAUCUGGAAUUACUUUCCCAGAUAUGCUACCUUAGAAUCAUAGAAUUGCUAAGGUUGGAAAAGACCCACAGGAUCAUCCAGUCCAACCAUUCGCCCUCCAUCAAUGGUUCUCACUAAACCAUGUCCCUCAACACAACAUCCAAAUGCUCUUUGAACACCACCAGGCUCGGUGACUCCACCACCUCUCUGGGCAGCCCAUUCCAGUGCCUGACCACCCUUUCAGAGAAGUAGUAUUUCCUAACGUCCAGCCUGAACCUUCCCAGGCACAUCUUGAAGCCAUUCCCUCUAGUCCUACCUUUCUGAGUUUCAAACAUAUAACCUGCAGUCAAUCUGGCAAGUAACUUAGAAGCCACAAUAUGCAAUGUAGAUAUACCUACAUAUAUGAUAAAAGGAUAAUAAUG